AAAGCGGCACUGAACCGCAGCAGUAACGCGCAAGCUCGUAGCCCUUGAGCUUUUCAAAUGGAACGGAGUGGAACUUCUAUCUUCCCAGAUUGCAAGGAGAUUUGUAAGAAGAUGCCUCAACUCCAAUUCUUACAUCUGUCAAGGGUUUAAAUGACUUUAACAAAUGUCACCUGAAUUUCAUGCAAUUGUUUGUUUAUUUUGUGAGUAUUUUAGUAGAAUUUUAGCAUACAAACAAAUUGCAUUUUAGGAUAAUUGUAGAGAAAAAAUAUAUAAACAACACAUCUGUUACUUUGUAUUGCAUCUUCGUGUGGAAAUGUACUAACACACUGAUUGUGUUAAAAGCAACACAAAAUGUGUUGUCCUUAACUAGACACGCAGGUGUGUUCAAAAUUAAUAUGGCGUUAUUUUAACACAUCUAUUUUAAGAGUUCAUAUCAGGUAUUUCAUGUAUUUUCUGCUCCUAGCAAGUUCAGGUAUUUCAUGUGUGCUUGAGACAACACCUGUUUUGCAUAUUAGUGCUGUUGUGAUGGAUUCUAUUCAGGCGGUUGAAUAAUUUUUAAACUGGA
ensembl:lncRNA